AGGGCUGGUGGCCGGCCCCUUCCCUGCUCUCACCCCCAAUCGUAGGCCCGGGAGGGUGAGAAUCCGGCCUUCAGGAGCUGGAGGGGAAAAUGAGGGACUCAAGAGCUGGGAGGAAGCAGGAGCAGGACCUGCUGCAUCUGCUGCAGGACCCUGUGCCAAGUGAGAAUGCAGACUCCUGUGUUUCCCAAAACUGCUGCAGGCUGUUCAGCGCCCUGCUCUUCAUAACUCUCCAUUCCCUCCGCGUGCUGGGACUCGGCCCAUGCAAGGGCGUUGACUCCAGGGUGGGGGAGUUGUCAGCCUGUGACUGAGUCUGGCCUCCCUCUUGCUGACCGGGUGAGGCUGAGCCUACACAUACUUGACAACUCUGGAAAAUCGGGGGUUCAACCAGACAAACUCAAAGCCCCCUCAAUGCAGUGUUCACCCCAUGACUGCUGUGGACCCCUGCUCUGCAAUCGCUCGCCGGCGAUUGAGGGUUUGCAGUUAUCAAUUCUUUCCCUACCCUAGAAGCUCAGCUCAAGUACCCCCUGCCCUGAAGCCUGUUCUGACCAUGC
rnacentral:lncRNA from 10 species